CUCUAUUCGCUGGAAAAUUUAUGGCCACCACCAUCGUUUCUUAUCGAAGGAUUAUUAACAUUAGAAAUCCAAUUCGCCGAAGAUUAAGACAGAAAAUAUUGGUCUCAACUCAGAUCACUAGGGAUGUUUGAAUUGGGGAAGAAGAAAAACUGAAUCAUUGUUUGGGAGAGCUCAAAAAUGCUAGGGAAGAUGUGAUAUUUGGUUUUAUUGGAGCUAUCGUUUCCCAACAGAUACAUCUUACGGAUCUAGAAAUGAUGUAUUUAGAUCACACACCUAUCCACACCUGUAUAUCCAUAUGACUUUUUACAUUAGCUACAAUCACCAAUUUGUUUUGACAAUUUGUUCACAUGUAUAUGGAUACUCUUAUCAUUGCAUAGCACUUGGACACUCUCUUGAAUUUGAUGACGUUAAACUGAUCAUAUGAUUAUUGGCUUUUUAGAUUUUAGAUUUUGCUUGUUUAUGGAAUGUUUGUAUCUUAGUUCUAACAAUGUGG